rnacentral:misc_RNA from 1 species
GCGGCGGCAUCGCGUGAGACAUUCUGCGCGUACUCUGUAACUGCCCCCCCCCCCCCCCCCCACAGGCUGAGACGUUCUUCGAAUCAACUUUGCCAUUGCGCAUACGUGCGUUGACAGCAUUCGUGACCUCAAUCGCUCAUCAACACAGGCUGACGUACACUUGUUGUCGCGUUGUGGAGGAGGACAAUUGAGCUGUACUUGCGGCACGGCGCCUUCGGUCACCGCGGGUCUACUUUUGUUGUCUCCGGUUCACUGUUCGGUGCCAUUGCAUCUCUCUCCGUGUCGAUAGGCUCGCGCGUGUGCGUAUUGAAGCAAAAUGCACGGCUUCCGUGGGCGUGCGCUCGCCACUGCCUUUUGCGUGGCACGGCGAUGGCGCAGCGGCGGGGGCCCAGGCGAUCGGCGUGUUCGGACAGACUGGUAUCGUUGCUAUCCUUCGCUCAUGGAGGAAAAAGACCGCGACAUGUACCACUGCUACUACCCCUACUUGUUCGACCAUGGCGACAAGAUGAGCUUGUACCCGAAAAUCCCCGACAACCCUCGCGAAUGGCAGGUGGAGCAGCUGCAGACAACGUACGACGCGAUCCGCGAGGACAAGUACGACGCGUUUGUUCGCUUACGUGCGAAAUUCCCCGAGCUCUACCAAGACACUUAUGCCUGGGACAACCCGCCACCGUUUGGAGAGUUCAACAUGUUUUACAGCGUCCGCUUCGGGAUGAUAGGUGUCAAGGCCUUCACCUGCAAAGACUACGAUGACCUAGGCAACCAGUUUGACUGCACCGCAUUCUGGUUCCCCGACAACCAGAUUGUCAAGCACUCUACCCGUAACGGCGAUGUGGGAACAGAUAAAGUUUAUGUUGGGGCGAUGAACGUGCCGGUGGAGUUUCAUAAGCCGCACGUCGCGGCGUUUUACAAGGCGGCGGGCGUACCUGUGAAGCAUGUGUCUGCCGGCUUUCCUGUCACGCCGGAUGCGUACGCGCCGGUCGGGACAAAGCUUGACGUGCGCCACUUCAAGCCUGGUCAGGAGGUGACCAUCACCUUUCAGAACACCGACUACGGCUAUCAAGGCGUCAUGUUUCGCCACGGCUUCGACGGUGGCUAUGUCUGGCUCGGAGACUCCAAGUGGCAGCGACGCCCCGGCUGCAUGGGUGCAGAGGGACAGAAGCGCAUCUACCCGGGUCAUCGCAUGGCAGGGCAGACGGGCGCCUCUGCGGAAACCUACGAUGGCGUUCCGGUGUGGCGCAUCGACUACAAGAACUCGCUCAUCUACUUGCCCACCCUCAUCGACGCCGAUGUCGGGACUUACGUGAAGUUUAGGGACACCAUCAAUACGAAAGGAUACACGCUGUGGAAUGAGCACCGCGGCACCCCACCUUUCCCCACCUUUGUCCCUAGCGAGGAGGAGAACCUCGGCAAACUAGCCACCGACGAAUGCCAGCUCACCUCUCCUCCACUGUACAUGUACUUCCGCGACGAGUUCGCUGCAGCUCAGCUUGUGACCCAGGCGGACGUCGAGGACGCCAAGAGUGUCAAGCCGGCGACCGCAGCGCCCAAAAAGAAGGUGUACGACUUGAAAAAGUACACGGAAGCCAGAAAGAAGUACCGCAAGAACCUGCAGAAGGCACGCAAGUACAAGCUCAUGGGCGUCCGAACGCGCGCUCACGAAAAGCAACAGGAGGCUCGGCGCGCCAAGAUACUGAAAUAUAAGCGCGUCAAGACGUGAGACGGGUGAUCAUUACGGCCCUGCUGAUACGGCGUUUGCGAGUACCAGCGAGUUCGUGUGGCUUUGGUCAACCACAUCAUGAGGCAAAGAAGGCGCCUUGCGCGCACGGAUGCGCUGGAGACGACGGUGUACGAGCGGGCACUGUUGUUCACUUUGUCUGUGUGGCUAGUCGCAUCUCUGCCCACGCACAUGCCUGCUUGCUGGUGUGUUUGCCGGUGUUUUCGACAUGCAGUCCCUCUGAGCCGCUGAGGGGGCUUGUCGGCCACAGCGUGAUGCUUGCGUUUUCCAAGGGCUUGCUUGCUGCCAUCCCGUCAGCGAAAAACAAAGGAGGAGGACGAGACAGAGUGGGACUGUAGUGAGUGACGAAGUCGGUCGCGGCGCCAAUGACCGCACCGGUGAUAGACCAACUCCAGUUGCACAGAAGAUGGUACUCAUAGCUCGCCAAGAGAGUGGAUCGAGUAGUAAAUAUCGGAGCUCACCUGCGCCAAGUGUUAUCUUUCAGCAAGCACACACACCCACACACGCGGCGCCAACGCCAUCAACCAGCUCGCACCACGAAGAUGUGAGAGCCGUUACAACAACAGCGCCGUUUACUGAUUUUUACUCACACCCACCUAAAAUAAAUCCUUCUCUGGCUUCUUACCAGCUGCCUUUUUUUUUUCUUGAAGAUCUUGAGUCGUACCGCCAUUCGUUCUUGUGUGUUUGUGGGUCC